AUUGAACGCUGGCGGCAGGCCUAACACAUGCAAGUCGAACGGAACCUUCGGGUUUAGUGGCGAACGGGUGAGUAAUGCCUAGGAAUCUGCCUAUUAGUGGGGGAUAACGAAUCGAAAGGUUCGCUAAUACCGCAUACGUCCUACGGGAGAAAGAGGGGGAUCUUCGGACCUCUUGCUAAUAGAUGAGCCUAGGUCGGAUUAGCUAGUUGGUGAGGUAAAGGCUCACCAAGGCGACGAUCUGUAGCUGGUCUGAGAGGAUGGCCAGCCACACUGGAACUGAGACACGGUCCAGACUCCUACGGGAGGCAGCAGUGGGGAAUAUUGGACAAUGGGCGGCAAGCCUGAUCCAGCCAUGCCGCGUGUGUGAAGAAGGCCCUCGGGUUGUAAAGCACUUUAAGCGAGGAGGAAGGUCGAUCAUACUAAUAUUAUGAUGAAUUGACGUUACUCGCAGAAUAAGCACCGGCUAACUACUGUGCCAGCAGCCGCGGUAACG
rnacentral:rRNA from 1 species